UACGUAGGGGGCAAGCGUUGUCCGGAUUUAUUGGGCGUAAAGAGCGUGUAGGCGGCUAGGUAGGUCCGUUGUGAAAACUGGAGGCUCAACCUCCAGCUGUCGACGGAAACCGUGUGGCUAGAGUCCGGAAGAGGAGAGUGGAAUUCCUGGUGUAGCGGUGAAAUGCGCAGAUAUCAGGAAGAACACCAAUGGCGAAGGCAGCUCUCUGGGACGGUACUGACGCUGAGACGCGAAAGCGUGGGGAGCGAACAGG
rnacentral:rRNA from 1 species